CUUUGUUUGAAGCCUGGUGGCUGCAGGGAGGGUUGUGUGUGCAGAGUGGUGUUGCAGCUGAAACAUCAGUGAUCUUGAGGCGUGCUGCUUAGGCCAACAUUGGACAGGAGCUGACCGUGUGCCGUUCCCCAGUGUGGGACAGGGCAGCCAUAUUAUUUAUUGGUGGAAAAUUCCCCAAGGUGGAAAGGACCGUGUGGCGUGCAGUGUGCUCAUGUGCAUGGGUGUACCCUGGGCUGCAAUUGAACCUCCCCGCAGGAGACCCACUGCCCCUUUUUCUUCUCCCCUGUAGUUUUUAGGCGAGAUGCCUUAUCUCGCAGUUGAUAUUGUCUUUUAGCUGGUGUUAAAUAAAACUUUGACUGUGGUUCCUUUGGUUUAUUUCACCGACCCACCCAAUUGAAGUUGUCUCCUUCUCUUUUUCAAUAAAAUUCUAAUUGUGA